AAAUCUGUCAAUUUUAGCCUGAUUUCAAAACCUAGUUUCCACUGUGUCCAGCCACUCACAAAUGGUCAUAGUUGGCAUAAAAAAAAAUAAAAAAAAAAAUUCAUAAUUCCAUUUGCAUUUCAGAUUUACCCAGUUGUGGUUUCAAAACAGAUCAUCUGAAUCACAACCAACAACAGAGACCAUAACAGGGGGAGGAGAUGAGAAAAAUGUGAGAGAAGAAUAACUGAACCAGAAGAGAAAUAACUGUGUAUUCUUAGGUUGGAAUAAAGAGAAUUAUAAAUAUAGAAAGCUGAAAUGGUAGGUUAAAAAGAAAAAUGGGAAAAAAGAGAGAAGGGGUGACAGUGGAGGGAAAGGGAAAGAGAGAGAGAUAGAGCGAGAGAGAGUAAACGUGGGGGGAGAAAGAGAGGGGGAAAAUAAAUAUACUAAACAAUUCUUUUUAUGCUAAUUAGUAAUAGAAUAUUGUUUUCUACUUCAACUUUGACCAACUUUGACCCGACAAACACAACUGUAACUAAGUUUCGGAUCAUGCUAAAAUUGAAAAAACUAAAAAGAUAAGCAAAAGUAUUUAUUUUUUGGUCAUUGGAAAUGAAUUAGAAAAGCAAAAAUAAUAAUUAAAAAAAAUGAGCAUCCUUGACAGCAAAACAAAGUUUUUUUCUAUUUCACUACUUAAACACAUAACAAACCUGAUCUAAAUCCUCACAGA
rnacentral:misc_RNA from 1 species